AUACUUUGUUAUUUUCAAUAAAUUAAAAAAAAAAAAAUCUGUUCUUAUCAGUUUAAUAUCUGAUACGUCCCCUAUCUGGGGACCAUAUAUUAAAUUGAUUUUUGGAACAGGGAGAUGGAAGAAGAGCUUGCUCUGUCCACUCCACGGAUCGACCUGGUAUUGCAGUACCUCCAGGACCGGUGCACUUCUC
rnacentral:snRNA from 1 species